GAAGGAGAGAUUUUUCAUUCAACCACUUGAACCAGCUCAGGCAGCAGCAAGGGCCAAGGAAUCAGCUAAGGACAUUGUGAGUGUGAAGCCUCUCAUAGACAAGAAGGCUUGGCCCUAUGUCCAGAAUGAUCUUCGCCUUAAGGCUGAAUUGCUCCGCUAUGAUCUCAACACUGUUAUCUCUGCUAAAUCCAAAGAGGAGAAGAAAUUUCUCAAGGAACUCACUGGAAAGCUCUUUCAAUCCAUCAGCGAC
rnacentral:misc_RNA from 1 species